rnacentral:rRNA from 1 species
UACUGGGUGGCGACCGGCAAGCGGGUGCGGAACACGUACGCAACCUUCCUUCAAGCGGGGAAUAGCCCAGAGAAAUUUGGAUUAAUACCCCAUAGGAAUGUAGUCUCGCAUGAGACAGCAUUUAAAGAUUUAUCACUUGAAGAUGGGCGUGCGUCUGAUUAGGUAGUUGGUGAGGUAACGGCUCACCAAGCCGACGAUCAGUAACUGGCGUGAGAGCGCGACCAGUCACACGGGCACUGAGACACGGGCCCGACUCCUACGGGAGGCAGCGGUAAGGAAUAUUGGUCAAUGGACGCAAGUCUGAACCAGCCAUGCCGCGUGGAGGAUGAAUGCCCUCUGGGUUGUAAACUUCUUUUAUCUGGGACGAAACACUUCUUAUCUAAGGAGCUUGACGGUACCAGAUGAAUAAGCACCGGCUAACUCCGUGCCAGCAGCCGCGGUAAUACGGAGGGUGCAAGCGUUAUCCGGAUUCACUGGGUUUAAAGGGUGCGUAGGCGGAUAUGUAAGUCUGUGGUGAAAUCUCUGAGCUUAACUCAGAAACUGCCGUGGAUACUAUAUGUCUUGAAUGUUGUGGAGGUUAGCGGAAUAUGUCAUGUAGCGGUGAAAUGCUUAGAUAUGACAUAGAACACCGAUUGCGAAGGCAGCUGGCUACACAACUAUUGACGCUGAGGCACGAAAGCGUGGGGAUCAAACAGGAUUAGAUACCCUGGUAGUCCACGCCCUAAACGAUGGAUACUCGACAUUUGCGAUAUAUUGUAAGUGUCUG